AACUGAAAAGGUGAUGGGGUUCGCCUAAACCGCCCAGACCAUCGGGCUGAUGACCCCUGCCGGACC
rfam:Candidatus Rokubacteria bacterium 13_1_40CM_4_69_5 13_1_40cm_4_scaffold_1285, whole genome shotgun sequence.